rnacentral:lncRNA from 1 species
CUCUGUGCAGAUCAACAUCGGGCACUUGGAUGAGAACGGUCUGUAUGAUGGCCACUUCACCACGUUUGCUCUCUCUGGAUUUGUCCGUGCUCAGGUAAUUAUCCUUGUUGCAGUCUGAAUGGGUUGUCUAACACGAAUAAAGGAUAUUUUUCAUAUGCAGCUUUCGGUUGUAAGUGUGCACAGGCUACUAGUUUUGUAUUGUUGUAAGCUUUUAAUUGUGAGUGUGCACAGGUUUCUAGUUUUGUAUUGUUAUAAGUACCCACCUACAAGAUUUCCUUACAGUGGAUUUGCAUGCCAAUAAUUGCUGGGUACCUGCCUACCAGAUUUUCUCACUGCAGAUUUGCAUGGCAUUAUACCAUGCGUCAUUAUAUAUAAAUGUUCAACAUCUGUUUCACCUUCUAUGCUUGAUCAUGAGUUGCCUGUUUGAUUUAUUGUGCCCCCAUAUUAUUGAGUAAAGCAUUCCCAUGCUAAGAAUAUGUAAGUUUUCUAUGCAUUUUAAGUUUCAAAUAUGCAAUGAAGUUGCCAAGUAUAUGAAAUGUGAAAUUUGUAUUUGCAGUUAGAUGGUUCUUUGGCUGCAUUUACUUUGUCUGUUGUCAAGUGCUCUUAUUUUGCUGAACACAAUUAGCUCACCAAUUUACCCUUUUGUCACUUUAUCUAGCACUUAAGCAUGGCAAUUGCUGGAGUUAAAGCUGUUUGUUCUAAUGUACCAAGCUUUUUUGUUUAGUGACUUGUGUUCUGUUCUCUGUGAAUAGUAGAAAGCAUGUCAUCUUAGUUGCUAGCAAAUUGCUGGUUCUGAUUUCACGUUCUGGUUCUGGCAGGGUGAUGCUGACAGCUCAUUGGACAGGCUGUGGCAGAAGAGGAAGGCCGAGAUCAAGCAGUAGUGGAUCUUGCUUGCUUUUAGUUUCCCCAGAAAUCAGAAUUGACUCUUAUGAUAGGUCAGACCCUGCUUUGGUGAAGUUUUGAUUUCUGUGUUGUGAAAU